GUGGUUGUGAAAAUAGACUGUGUUUGUAAGUGUGAAAAUAUGAGUGUGUGUCUGUGUGUGUGCGCGGGCGCGCUUUUCUGAACCAGGGACCUCACUUGAGAAUAUUCAUACCUGAAUCUGGCAUGGUCAAGAUGUGCUGACAUGUCAUGCAACCAACACAAGUCGAUGUGUGGGUGAUGAGGUGUCGAGGAUGUAACUAAGCGGCCGCUACGGGAAGGAUCGCCGUGAAAUGUGGCUUGAGAACGAGAAGACGUGCCUUGAUUUUGAACAAGUGUGUCGGAAAGACGCGUGAAUUGUGUACCAUUAUUAUUGUGUAGCAUUCCACUCAUGAGGACUUUUCGAACGCCGUGUGCGGCUGUGUUAUAUACAACAGCAGGUUCUGUUCGUCAUAAAUCAGACCAUCUGUUUAUGGAAUUUUAUCGUGCAUGUGCUUCUCUUCGUUCCUAAGUCCAUUUCUAUGUACUCUGGGUCAUUCCUAAGUGUCGGUGCGAUCUGUACUAGUUGUCAGAGGACAAAAUUAAAGCCAAUCAAAUGGACUGUUCAUCUGCA